UUGGGACUGAGACACGGCCCAGACUCCUACGGGAGGCAGCAGUGGGGGAUAUUGCACAAUGGGGGAAACCCUGAUGCAGCGACGCCGCGUGGAGGAAGAAGGUUUUCGGAUUGUAAACUCCUGUCGUUAGGGACGAUAAUGACGGUACCUAACAAGAAAGCACCGGCUAACUACGUGCCAGCAGCCGCGGUAAAACGUAGGGUGCAAGCGUUGUCCGGAAUUACUGGGUGUAAAGGGAGCGCAGGCGGACCGGCAAGUUGGAAGUGAAAACUAUGGGCUCAACCCAUAAAUUGCUUUCAAAACUGCUGGCCUUGAGUAGUGCAGAGGUAGGUGGAAUUCCCGGUGUAGCGGUGGAAUGCGUAGAUAUCGGGAGGAACACCAGUGGCGAAGGCGACCUACUGGGCACCAACUGACGCUGAGGCUCGAAAGCAUGGGUAGCAAACAGGAUUAGAUACCCUGGUAGUCCAUGCCGUAAACGAUGAUUACUAGGUGUUGGAGGAUUGACCCCUUCAGUGCCGCAGUUAACACAAUAAGUAAUCCACCUGGGGAGUACGACCGCAAGGUUGAAACUCAAAGGAAUUGACGGGGGCCCGCACAAGCAGUGGAGUAUGUGGUUUAAUUCGAAGCAACGCGAAGAACCUUACCAGGUCUUGACAUCCGAUGCAUAGCGCAGAGAUGCGUGAAGUCCUUCGGGACAUCGAGACAGGUGGUGCAUGGUUGUCGUCAGCUCGUGUCGUGAGAUGUUGGGUUAAGUCCCGCAACGAGCGCAACCCUUAUUGCCAGUUACUACGCAAGAGGACUCUGGCGAGACUGCCGUUGACAAAACGGAGGAAGGUGGGGAUGACGUCAAAUCAUCAUGCCCUUUAUGACCUGGGCUACACACGUACUACAAUGGCGUUUAACAAAGAGAAGCAAGACCGCGAGGUGGAGCAAAACUCAAAAACAACGUCUCAGUUCAGAUUGCAGGCUGCAACUCGCCUGCAUGAAGUCGGAAUUGCUAGUAAUCGCGGAUCAGCAUGCCGCGGUGAAUACGUUCCCGGGCCUUGUACACACCGCCCGUCACACCAUGAGAGCCGGGGGGACCCGAAGUCGGUAGUCUAACCGCAAGGAGGACGCCGCCGAAGGUAAAACUGGUGAUUGGGGUGAAGUCGUAACAAGGUAGCCGUA
rnacentral:rRNA from 1 species